rnacentral:rRNA from 1 species
CGAACCUUUCGGGGUUAGUGGCGGACGGGUGAGUAACGCGUAGGAACCUAUCUGGAGGUGGGGGAUAACAUCGGGAAACUGGUGCUAAUACCGCAUGAUGCCUGAGGGCCAAAGGAGAGAUCCGCCAUUGGAGGGGCCUGCGUUCGAUUAGCUAGUUGGUUGGGUAAAGGCUGACCAAGGCGAUGAUCGAUAGCUGGUUUGAGAGGAUGAUCAGCCACACUGGGACUGAGACACGGCCCAGACUCCUACGGGAGGCAGCAGUGGGGAAUAUUGGACAAUGGGGGCAACCCUGAUCCAGCAAUGCCGCGUGUGUGAAGAAGGUCUUCGGAUUGUAAAGCACUUUCACUAGGGAAGAUGAUGACGGUACCUAGAGAAGAAGCCCCGGCUAACUUCGUGCCAGCAGCCGCGGUAAUACGAAGGGGGCUAGCGUUGCUCGGAAUGACUGGGCGUAAAGGGCGCGUAGGCUGUUUGUACAGUCAGAUGUGAAAUCCCCGGGCUUAACCUG